UUGGUCGGUGUGGGUUGUGCUGUAAACCUUGUAUCAUCGAGUUUAUAAGCUUUUCGACCUUUUUCUUACUUUCCGAACAAAUCUAAGUCGACGUCUGGGCCGUCAGUAUAGAGGCUCACAUUCAAUAUCCAGCCCUGGCCUGGCCCAGUAAGGCACCAUGAUUUCACGGGAAACGGGAGAAUGCGGCCCAUGCGAAUGGAGGUCUGCUUCCUCUGAGCGUGUAGGCAUUUCGCCGAGCGGCUGACAGGCAGCCGACGGCGGGAAUCGGGACGGCGGUGAGCAUCGCAGCGCAGCGCACCUCACCGUAGUAUAUCGGCGUAGGCGGACGGAGGCCACGCCGAGGAUGGAUUUGGUCGGAGCAUGGCCUUCGCGCAUCCCCCGGUCCUCUCCUGCUGGGGAUCCCCCGUCGCGCGCACCGCUGGCGAUUUCGAAGCCGGCGAGCGGUGAAUUCCAUCGGUAUUGGGGCUAUCCUCAGGGGAAGAGAUGGUUAAGUUAUGAACCAUCACUUCUUGACAGCUAUCAAACUUCAGAUGACACUGGGAGCUGUUGACGAUGCUGAUACCAGUUACUCUGACAUUGGAACUACCAUAAAACCUCAGGGCCUGCAUCAGAGUACACAGCCGUAUCCGCUUAAAUACUUCUGGUGCAAAUGUUGAUUACUUCGGGACGCGGCACCUUCAGAAGCAGUGCUGGUUACCUGAGUGUCAUCUGUCACUCCAUCACCCUUUGCUCCAAAAGCAACCACGUUGAAGGCUGUGUCCUGCGAUGGCGCUUCUGGUGGCGGCAGAGGCGGUGCUUGUGGAGGUGGCGGUGACGACGGCAGAGGUGAUGCUUGUGGUGGCGGCGAUGGCGGCAGAGGUGGUGGCGGACUUGGUGGUGUAUAACAGUUUCCACCACCUGGACUUGGUGUUGGCACUGCUGGACUCGGGCUGAUGGGCACGCUCGGGCCUGUGCUUGGACUCGGCUGGUAUCGUUUGUGGGAAGAACCGCCGUUCUUCCCUUUUCCUUUGCUUCUGAACAUGGUGGUGGAGGGUCCGUUCUUCUGCCUCCAGUGGCUGCCGCUUCUCGCCUCGCAGAUGCUAACGCCGGAGCUCAGAGCAAGCGAGACAAAGAUAAGCAGGAUGGCGAGACCUUUCGACCCAAGGCUCAUCUUCGUGCCUGCAACUUUGUAUCUGUCUGCAGUUCGUCGAUGGUGGCAGUGUCUGUGUGUGCUUGGGGCUGGAAGGAAGCUGGGCAGGGGAUAGACAGAGAGUGUGCGUGUGGUUUUGAAGAGGGAAGGAGAAAUUUAAAUAGCCAGCUCCAUGGAUGUCUCGUCCUCAAGGUUGGGACAAAGGAAUGGAGAUAACGGAAGGUACCAGCCCGAGUGAGUCACGUGCAUGCGUGUGACGGGAGGCGAUGAAUGGAUUGAUGAACUGCGAUCUUGCAAACUGCACGGAGAAUUUAAGUUGUUGUUUCUGUAGUUUCUUGCUCUUGUGCAUCACCAGCACAGUUGUAUGGUGGUGAUCGUCUUGUGACAGGUUUUGGCUGGCUCAUCCCCAAAUGCCAUAACCCAGAAGGAAUAGAAGUAUUGAACAGACAAUGUAAUAGCUUGUCUGCAUGCACUACUAAUGGUUCACGGGGUAGGGGAGAGUUAUAGAAGCCUUUGUACCUAUUCGAUCCAUUUGACACUAGUUUGGUGCAAGACGCAAUGCCCCGGGUGAUUACACUGUCUCCUGGGCUCACACUUGUGCAGUUAGUUUCAUUGUCAGAGUAUUCUUUGUAGCAGAUUGUGACCACAAAUUCAGUAUAUAUAUAUACUUAGCUAUGUGUGGACA